rnacentral:rRNA from 1 species
UACGACUACAUAUCAGGCAUAUCAAUAAGCGGAGGAAAAGAAACUAACUAGGAUUCCCUUAGUAACGGCGAGUGAAGCGGGAAGAGCUCAAAUUUGAAAUCUUCAAGGUUUUACCUUGACGAAUUGUAGUUUAAAGAAGUGUUUUCUGUUGGAAGUUUCGGUAAAAGUUCUUUGGAAUAGGACAUCAUAGAGGGUGAGAAUCCCGUAUUUGACCGUUACUUUCAGCUGUGUGAUACACUUUCAAAGAGUCGGAUUGUUUGGGAAUGCAGUCCAAGAUGGGUGGUAAAUUUCAUCUAAAGCUAAAUAUUGGCGAGAGACCGAUAGCGAACAAGUACCGUGAGGGAAAGAUGAAAAGAACUUUGAAAAGAGAGUUAAACAGUACGUGAAAUUGUCAAAAGGGAAGCGUUUGACACCAGUGUUGUUUUCGUUCGAAAAUCAAUUAAAUAGUAUUUGAUUCUAGUAGUUGUAUUGACCUUCAUAAGCUGGCUUUCUUCACCUUUUUCAUGUUUAUUUUUAAUGCACUCUUCGUUUAACAAGUCAACAUCAGUUUCUUUUGUCGUAAAAAGGUCAUUGGAAGGUGGCUUUCUUUUCGGAGAAAGUGUUUAUAGCCUUUGACUCCUGCAAUCGGAGAGACUGAGGUCUGCAGCGUAGAUCCUUCUGGAUUAGAUUCAUUUGUGCUAAGUUAUAGCUUUUCAUAGACAACUUGUUGACUAUGUUUUGUCAUGUAGCUUACUCGCUUAUGUAAUUUUACCUACGCUUAGGAUGUUGAACGCGCACAGAGUCUC